rnacentral:rRNA from 1 species
GUAACAAGGUCUCCGUUGGUGAACCAGCGGAGGGAUCAUUACCGAGUUUUCAACUCCCUAACCCUUAUGUGAACCUACCUAUUGUUGCUUCGGCGGACUCGCCCCAGCCGGACGCGGACUGGACCAGCGGCCGCCGGGGACCCUCAAACUCUUGUAUUAUCAGCAUCUUCUGAAUCCGCCGCAAGGCAAAACAAAUAAAUCAAAACUUUCAACAACGGAUCUCUUGGCUCUGGCAUCGAUGAAGAACGCAGCGAAACGCGAUAAGUAAUGUGAAUUGCAGAAUCCAGUGAAUCAUCGAAUCUUUGAACGCACAUUGCGCCCGCCAGCAUUCUGGCGGGCAUGCCUGUUCGAGCGUCAUUUCAACCCUCGACCUCCCUUUGGGGAAGUCGGCGUUGGGGACCGGCAGCACACCGCCGGCCCUGAAAUGGAGUGGCGGCCCGUCCGCGGCGACCUCUGCGUAGUAAUCCAACUCGCACCGGAACCCCGACGUGGCCACGCCGUAAAACACCCAACUUCUGAACGUUGACCUCGAAUCAGGUAGGACUACCCGCUGAACUUAAGCAUAUCAAUA